rnacentral:rRNA from 1 species
AUACGAAGGGGGCUAGCGUUGUUCGGAAUAACUGGGCGUAAAGCGCACGUAGGCGGAAUGUUAAGUUAGAGGUGAAAUCCCAGGGCUCAACCCUGGAACUGCCUUUAAUACUGGCAAUCUAGAGAUCGAGAGAGGUGAGUGGAAUUCCGAGUGUAGAGGUGAAAUUCGUAGAUAUUCGGAGGAACACCAGUGGCGAAGGCGGCUCACUGGCUCGAUACUGACGCUGAGGUGCGAAAGCGUGGGGAGCAAACAGGAUUAGAAACCCUAGUAGUCC